AUUGAACGCUGGCGGCAUGCUUUACACAUGCAAGUCGAACGGUAACAGGGAGCUUGCUCCGCUGACGAGUGGCGAACGGGUGAGUAAUGCGUCGGAACGUGCCGAGUAGUGGGGGAUAACGCAGCGAAAGUUGUGCUAAUACCGCAUACGUACUGAGGUAGAAAGUGGGGGACCUUCGGGCCUCACGCUAUUCGAGCGGCCGACGUCUGAUUAGCUAGUAGGUGAGGUAAAGGCUCACCUAGGCGACGAUCAGUAGCGGGUCUGGGAGGAUAGUCCGCCACGCUGGGUCUGGGAAACGGCCCAGACUCCUACGGGAGGCAGCAGUGGGGAAUUUUGGACAAUGGGCGAAAGCCUGAUCCAGCCAUGCCGCGUGUCUGAAGAAGGCCUUCGGGUUGUAAAGGACUUUUGUCGGGGAGGAAAUCCCCAGCGCUAAUACCACUGGGGGAUGACAGUACCUGAAGAAUAAGCACCGGCUAACUACGUGCCAGCCGCCGCAGUAAGAC
rnacentral:rRNA from 1 species